rnacentral:rRNA from 1 species
AUUGAACGCUGGCGGCAUGCCUUACACAUGCAAGUCGAACGGCAGCACGGGAGCAAUCCUGGUGGCGAGUGGCGAACGGGUGAGUAAUAUAUCGGAACGUGCCCAGUCGUGGGGGAUAACGCAGCGAAAGCUGUGCUAAUACCGCAUACGAUCUAUGGAUGAAAGCGGGGGAUCGCAAGACCUCGCGCGAUUGGAGCGGCCGAUAUCAGAUUAGCUAGUUGGUGGGGUAAAGGCCCACCAAGGCGACGAUCUGUAGCUGGUCUGAGAGGACGACCAGCCACACUGGAACUGAGACACGGUCCAGACUCCUACGGGAGGCAGCAGUGGGGAAUUUUGGACAAUGGGCGCAAGCCUGAUCCAGCAAUGCCGCGUGCAGGAUGAAGGCCUUCGGGUUGUAAACUGCUUUUGUACGGAACGAAACGGUCCUUUCUAAUACAAGGGGCUAAUGACGGUACCGUAAGAAUAAGCACCGGCUAACUACGUGCCAGCAGCCGCUGUAAUAC